rnacentral:rRNA from 1 species
UACGAAGGGGGCUAGCGUUGUUCGGAAUUACUGGGCGUAAAGCGCACGUAGGCGGAUAUUUAAGUCAGGGGUGAAAUCCCAGAGCUCAACUCUGGAACUGCCUUUGAUACUGGGUAUCUUGAGUAUGGAAGAGGUAAGUGGAAUUGCGAGUGUAGAGGUGAAAUUCGUAGAUAUUAGGAAGAACACCAGUGGCGAAGGCGGCUCACUGGUCCGGUACUGGACGCUGAGGUGCGAAAGCGUGGGGAGCAAAC